rnacentral:lncRNA from 1 species
AUGCUGGAAUCUCCUUAUUUGUCAUGUGCGCAGCAGACAACUUUCACACACAACUCAAUCCUGACAAUGAUACGCUCUGGGUGUCUUGAGUGGGUGUGGAGGUGCAUGAGAAGGUUGUGUGCAUGUAUGUGUGGCCGAGAAAGCAAAUGUGGGUGUGUGUGCGUAUGCAUGUGGGAGAAAGGAAAAACAAUCCUUGCAAUCCGGCCAUUUUUGUUUAAUGAAGAAUGGAAGACUGGCAUUCAGAGAUGUGGUUACGUGCCGCAUAUUAAUGCGUGCUCACCACUCAUCCUCCCCCACUUUAAAAAUGAGUGGCACAGGAGUGAAGCUCUCUACAGAUCAACCACGUGGGAGAAGCAACUCAUGAGGUGGCAUCCUGUUGUUACAGGAACAUCUUUCACAAAUUAUGAGUGA